rnacentral:rRNA from 1 species
GACGAACGCUGGCGGCGUGCUUAAUACAUGCAAGUUGAGCGCUGAAGGCUGGUACUUGUACCAACUGGAAGAGCAGAACACGGGUGAGUAACGCGUGGGGCAUCUGCCUUUGAGCGGGGGACAACAUGUGGAAACGAAUGCUAAUACCGCAUAAGAACCUUAAACACAGGUGUUAAGUUUAAAAGAUGCAAUUGCGUCACUCACAGAUGAUCCCGCGUUGUAUUAGCUGGUUGGUGAGGUAAAGGCGCACUAAGGCGUGGUUACGUAGCCGACCUGAGAGGGUGAGCGGCCACAUUGAGACUGUGACACGGCCCAUACUGCUACGGGUGGCAGCAGUAGGGAUUCUUCGGCAAGGGGCGGAAGUCUGUCCGAGCUGCGCCGCGGGAGGGAGGAGGAAUGUCGGGUCGUAAAUCUCGGUUGGUAGGGAAGAACGUUGGUGAGAGUGGGAAGCACAUCAAGUGACGGUAACUACUCAGAAAGGGACGGCUAACUACGUG